UCUAAUUAAGAGACAUUGUCUAAAGUGUGCUAAAGGGACAAACACAAUACAUUUUUCUAAUAAUUUGAAUGAGUUUAAUACACUAUAAAGUGAUCAAAUCCGAUUCUAGUUGUUGCAUGAAAAGAGAAAAAAGAUAUGGCUAAAACUCUCCAAUUUAUUUGUGCUGUGAUUUUAUUUCUUUUCCUAUUUUUUAUUGCAAAGGAGGUUGACGGACAAACUAAAUGUCAAACUCAUCGUGAUUGUCCUAAAAUUUCCAAUGUGAAUCCUUCAAUUCCAGACUUGCAGCCUUCAUUUUAUAAGUGCAUUGAAAACAUGUGUGUACGGAUAUUGUUCGACUAGAGAAGACAAACUCCAUGCAGGGAAGAAUAAGCUCUUGUACUUGAAAAAAAAAAUGCAAUAUACCUUAUACUAGAAUAUUUUAUGAGUUGCCAUUUAAAUGUUGUGUCAGCAUCCAAUAAUUUUUUUUUGUAUUAUAAUUUUAGGAUCUUGAAAUAAUGUAUUUGUACUCUAAAAUGUUGUUAAUGAAAUGAAAUAAGGCACUAAAGAAUAUUAUAAUUA